UCCAGGAAGUGCAGUUAGACAGACAUCUGAGCUGGGUUGUGUCUAUUUGCUAGUGGGCUAUGGGACAUUUGACCCACGUAACACGCAAGAGAAGGGGAGGAGCAAUUUCUGCAAAGGGUCCAGAAAUGGACCCUCGCGAGCUCGCUUCGCUUGCCACGCUUCGGGUACGGUGAUUACUAAAGGUAAUAGUUGGUGGCGUGGAUACUGAAAGUAGUAUCCUGCCAUCCUUGCUCCGCCCCCUGACAUCACAGGUCCCUUAGCCUACUAGAAUUUAGCAUCUACCAUCGGAGCUGAGCAGCCUGACAGGGGAGGAGGGAGAUGCUGAUCUGAAGUGCAAGCAGCAGCCACCCGUGCACAGUGACUGGGCAAAACCAAGGAGGAAGGGGCCAGUGAAAAGGCUUCAGACAUCAGAUGAGGAGGAAGAUGAGUAGUCCUUCCUGUGUUAAGCUACAUCCCCUUCACAAAGCUGUUGGCCUAGUGGCCUGUUCAGAUUCUAAGAAGGAGGAUGAGGCCGCAACCAUAGCCAUGGAGCCACCAGUCCCCACCCCACCAACCCAGCAGCAGCCAGCAGGUCUGGUGGAAGAAUGUAGUUCACGCCACAGCUACUGGCAGCAGCCGGUGGUUUAAAUGCAGCACCAAACCAUCAAAAUGAAGACCAUCUGCCAGCAUCUAAGGAAGCUUAAUAAGACCACCAGAGUAGCACAGGGGACCCAGAUGGCCAGUGAGUUUGGCAUACAUAUUUUUCAGCUGACACAGGCCAUUCAAGAGCAAACCCAGGCCUUCAAAAGCCUUCAAGAAAAACUGGUGGCCCAAAGAACAGUUAGGAGAGGGCCAUCAUCGGUGUCCCCAAGCUCCAAGCCAAGCACCCUACAGAUUGCCUUACCGGUUACUCCCCACAGCCACGGUGGCCGUACCUUGGGGUAGGGGCGACUCAAGUGGUAGGGAGGGGCAGCUGCACUUCCACCUAACAAAAAUGUUGGUUCCAUUUGUUUUCACUUAAUUGCAUUUAUUUAUUUAUUUAUUUCAAUGUUAAUAUUUUUUGGAUUAGUAAAUAAUUCACAUUUG